CCUACGGGAGGCAGCAGUAGGGAAUUUUCCACAAUGGACGAAAGUCUGAUGGAGCAACGCCGCGUGAGUGGUGAAGGGUUUCGGCUCGUAAAACUCUGUUGUUGGAGAAGAACGGGUGGUUGAGUAACUGUUGACAUCGUGACGGUAUCCAACCAGAAAGCCACGGCCAACUACAUGCCAGCAGCCGCGGUAAU
rnacentral:rRNA from 1 species